AUGGGCAAGACGAGCACCGUGUCGUCGUGGCUGUGCUGCCCGUGCCGGUGCCUCUUCUGCGGCCUGCUGAGCUGCAUCUUCAGCGUCCUCGCCACCAUCCUCGUCAUCGCUGGCGUCGUCGUGCUCGCCCUCUAUCUCCUCUUCCGACCGCACCUCAUCCAAGCUACCGUCGCGUCCGCCGACCUCAACGACUUCACCCUCACGCCGAGCACCUGGAUCCUCCGCUACAACCUCUCUGUCGCGCUCUCCGUCCGCAACCCUAACUCCCGGAUCGCCAUCCACUACCAGUCCGUCGUCGCCGAGGCCUACUACCAGGGCACCCGCGCCGACCUCCCGGACUUCUACCAGGACACCGGCGAGACCACCGUCCUGCCGCUGGCCUUCGCUGGCGAUCACCCGCUCGAGGGCGGGGUCGCCGCCGCGGGGUUCCGCAAGGAGGCCAUCGACCACGCCUCCUUCUCAGUCGACAUCAAGCUCAGCGCCAAGAUGAAGCUCAAGGUGUGGGCCUUCAGGGUGCCGGGGCCAAAGCCCAGGGUUGACUGCCCUCUCAACAUCCACCGACGGAACGCCUCCGCACCCGCCGCCGACGGCCCGCAGGAGUUCCACCCCGUCGAAUGCCGCGUCUGGUUCUGA
rnacentral:rRNA from 1 species